rnacentral:snoRNA from 1 species
GUGCGAAACGCAUUAAAAGCUCUCGACGGGUUCGAAGCUGUUGCCUGCUGCGGGAUCCUGAGAUGCGUGAGAUUU